rnacentral:lncRNA from 1 species
GUCACAAUUCACAUAUUAUUUUUGUCAGCAGCAUGUUCAAACUACCAAGGCUCUUCUUCAAAAUCGCAGCUGUGAUAUCUACAAUAAAUGAACUACAGGAAAGCUGCAGUUAGGUCAUACUGCCUUGUCACUGCAGAUGAAACAAACGAUAAUAGCAUUACUGCAUACUGUUUCUGCAGCGUGUUUUGUUCACUAAAAGCAAUUGUAAUGAUUAAUGGUGUCACAAUAAUGUAUGCUGAAUGCCUUUCUUCCUGCUCUGGGUGAUUGGCUUAGGUAAGGAGCAUGAUGGGGUAGACCAAGCUCAGCUGGAGCAGUUUGGUCCCUGUUUUGUGGUGGGCAAGUACAGAGACAGGUGAUGGAAUUGGCUGGGAGGGGAGGACGGGAAAUUGGCUAGGACCAGGUGGUUUUUGGGGGCUAGAUGGGGAAGGGGAAGUUUUCUGAAUGAACCAGCUGGAAAAGCUAAGGCCAGUAUGCUGCUUUUCAGUGGGGAGGAAGAAAUGCUCCAGGCUAUCUAUGUACAAUUAUAUAUGUCUUUAUGAGUGGAAAGAGGAGUCUUCAGUUACUGAGUAUUGCUGUAGUUACCAGAGUCCUGGAAGACUGUCCUUGAUGACCAAGAUGUCCUUGAUGACACAUCUUUUUUGAAGGCUCAGACAGCACCGAGAACUGUAUUGCAGUGGACUUAAAAACAAGAUUUUUCACAGUGAAAUAAGUGGCAGCCAAGCAAGGGGAUGUCAGGACAGGACUGGAGGUAGGGUAGAAGAGGUAAACUCUAGGUGAGUGGUGCGUUGAUGCUUUCUGUUUGGAUGACUCCCUGCUGCUUUUCCUUGCUGCUUCUUCUGGAAACUAAUGCUUUCUCUCACCCUGUUUCUGGGAUGAGCUGGCUAUGAGGAGCAGAGAAAACCCUUCCAUGGGACAGGAGAGUUCAGUCUUUAUUUUCAUGGGGUUAGACAUGAGGGAUGCAGCUUGCUCUGGGUAUGGUCCCUGUGCUUGGGGCAGUCCUAGCACCACCUCAGCAGCUCCUGUGUCCUUGUGCCACUCCUCAGCAUUUUAGUUGUUAAAGUAAUUUUAUACUUCUUAGAGAAUGUUGCAGAAAGGUGGAAGAAAACUGCAAAGACCUGCAGUGGAUUUGGAGAAUCUAAAGACAUUUGAAAAUAAUUGAAUCAAAACACGACCACCUCAAGGUCCCUUCCUUAAAGGUUUUGUUAUUGAUCAUUUAUCUGAGAACUAGACACACAGAUGGCACUAAUCCCCUCCCGAAUGUAUACUGCAGUAUAAACGUUCCAUUCAAAUAAUAUAUUACAAUAAAUAACAUACAAUUUUCCCA